rnacentral:rRNA from 1 species
GCAUAUCAAUAAGCGGAGGAAAAGAAACCAACAGGGAUUGCCUUAGUAACGGCGAGUGAAGCGGCAAAAGCUCAAAUUUGAAAUCUGGCACCUUCGGUGUCCGAGUUGUAAUUUGAAGAAGGAAGGUUUAUGGGUCUUGUCUAUGUUCCUUGGAAUAGGACGUCACAGAGGGUGAGAAUCCCGUGCGAUGAGAUUCCGUAUUGUAAUCUUCCUUCGAAGAGUCGAGUUGUUUGGGAAUGCAGCUCUAAGUGGGUGGUAAAUUCCAUCUAAAGCUAAAUAUUGGCGAGAGACCGAUAGCGAACAAGUACAGUGAUGGAAAGAUGAAAAGAACUUUGAAAAGAGAGUGAAAAAGUACGUGAAAUUGUUGAAAGGGAAGGAUUUGAGAUCAGACUUGGUAUUUUGCAACCUUACUCUCGUGGUGGGGCCCCUGCAGUUUACUGGGCCAGCAUCAGUUUGGAUGAUGGGAUAAGGACAUUGGAAUGUGACUCUGCCUCGGUGGAGUGUUAUAGCCUUUGUUGAUACCGUCUAUCUAGACUGAGGACUGCGUCUUUGACUAGGAUGUUGGCAUAAUGAUCUUAAAUCACCCGUCUUGAAACACGGACC